ensembl:lncRNA
GCGUUUAUGCUGCAGCCAAGAAAGCCUUGUGAGAACUGGGCGGAAAAAAUUGUAGCCAUGGGUGCAGACGGUGCAGCUGUCAAUCUGGGACACAGAGGUGGAGUGAUAGCCCUCCUUCAAGCAGAGAUUGGGUCCUUCAUUGUCUCAUUCCACUGCAUGCCACACAGGUCAAAGUCAGCAUGGAGGAUGGGACAUGUGGCAUUUUGCCACUUCCUGUCAGACCUUUUCUCUUCCAUCAGCAACUUCAGCCUGCAGCUUCAGAGAAACAAUGUAAUCCUACCUCAGGCUGUUAGUGGCAUCGAAUCUCUCUUGGCUACCAUAGAAGCUAUGGCAGCUAGCCCCAAACCUGAUGGUAAGCUGUCUGAGUUCCUUGCAGCCAUGAAGAAGCAGCGCCAACAGAGAGGAGGAGAACCUGGGGCUGGGACGUUCAAGUAUCAGGAAGUCACGCUUUCUAAAGGUGAAGCUGCAGAGCGUGCAGAAGGUCAACCAAUCAGCCAGUGUGCUCCCAGACUGCAAAGAGCCAUUGUGCUGACCUAAGAGAACACAAAGGAUGCACCAACAGCCAAGGCAGUGAAGUGUUUCAAUGUCUUCAGCCAUGACUCUUGGCCAGAUAAUAGGCUGGAGCUCCUGAACCAUGGUGUGGAAGAGGUGAACUCUCUCCUACAACACUUCUCCACUGUCCUGGACAGGAAUGGCUGCAGCAAAGAAAAGGCCAAAGAGGAGUUCCAACUGAUGAAAAUGACGAUAAACACGUCAUUCAAGGACAAAAGCUAUCUUGGACUGUGGCAAGUCAUGACGACAAAAGAGCCCUACUGCUCAGACUUUGCGGUAGGCUCUGUUAUCUGUAGUAUCAAAAAUGACAUGAUCAUUGUCACUGUUGACUUGGUGAUUUGGAAAGUUGGUUUGAUCACCACACUUCGUCUUUUGCAGAAUAUCCUACGCCUGGUCCAAAUCAUGCUGGUGCUCCCAAUCUCUUCAGCAGUCUGUGAAAGAGGCUUCUCGUCAGUAAACAGAAUCAAGUCAGAUGCUAGAUCAGUUCAGUUUGAAUUAAUGAGCUUUAAGUUUAUAAGUUAUUUAUUAUGUCGUUUUUAAGUUACCAGUAAGUUCGAUGUUCAGAAUGUUAUGUUCAAUAUACGUUUAAUACAAUGUAACAGUAUUUUUGUACUGUGGCUCAUGCAGAGAAACUUGAAUUCAGAUUAAAAUAUUUUGCAAAUAUCAAGUUUUGGUCAUUGUCAAUCUUUAACUUUCAUCAACAUAACAUAUUAAUAACACGCUAUACAAAGAAAAAUAUGGUGCUACCUAAUUUGUUUUGGUGCUACUAAAUGAAAAGCUAGGUGGCACCAGUGUUACCAGUGAAAAAGUUAGUCUGGAGCCCUGCAACAGCAACAGUUGCACUGUUUUUCUAAAUGCAUCAGCCGUACUCUCGGUUAAUCUAAAUGCA